rnacentral:rRNA from 1 species
AACGAACGCUGGCGGCAUGCCUAACACAUGCAAGUCGAACGAGACCUUCGGGUCUAGUGGCGCACGGGUGCGUAACGCGUGGGAACCUGCCCUUAGGUUCGGAAUAACUCCCCGAAAGGGGUGCUAAUACCGGAUAAUGUCUUCGGACCAAAGAUUUAUCGCCUUUGGAUGGGCCCGCGUUGGAUUAGCUAGUUGGUAGGGUAAAAGCCUACCAAGGCGACGAUCCAUAGCUGGUCUGAGAGGAUGAUCAGCCACACUGGGACUGAGACACGGCCCAGACUCCUACGGGAGGCAGCAGUGGGGAAUAUUGGACAAUGGACGAAAGCCUGAUCCAGCAAUGCCGCGUGAGUGAUGAAGGCCUUAGGGUUGUAAAGCUCUUUUACCCGGGAUGAUAAUGACAGUACCGGGAGAAUAAGCGCCGGCUAACUCCGUG